UACGUAGGGAGCAAGCGUUGUCCGGAAUCAUUGGGCGUAAAGCGCGCGUAGGUGGCUUCGUAAGUCCGCUGUGAAAGUCAAAGGCUCAACCUUUGAAAGCCGGUGGAUACUGCGGAGCUAGAGUCCGGAAGAGGCGAGUGGAAUCCUGGUGUAGCGGUGGAAUGCGCAGAUAUCAGGAGGAACACCAAUAGUGAAGGCAGCUCGCUGGGACGGUACUGACACUGAGGCGCGAAAGCGUGGGGAGCGAACAGG
rnacentral:rRNA from 1 species